rnacentral:lncRNA from 10 species
GCUUGGCUUCUGGCCUGUGGUCACUCCUUGGCCACCUAUGCCAGGGGCAGCACUGAGCCCCCCAGGACAGGCUGUCCCUGAACAGAGCGGUGAGGAUGAGGGGCUCCCAGCCGCGGCCCCAAAGACUACCUGCCACCCCACCUCGCCAUUCUGCUGUCCCCUCUGCCCCUGAAGCACAUGGACUCUUUCUGAGACAUCGGCUUUAGCGUUGCUGGCUGGGCUCCUCUGGGGGUCGCUGGCCAUCAGGCUAAAGGGGUCUUGCCCACCCAGGCAUGGAGAGGCCAGCCAGGGGUCUGAGGUCCAUCCGAGUAGCCAGGCGCCAUCUGGGAGAUGACCUCCAGCCUCGGGGCCAGGCUGGGUGGGUGCUGAAGGCAGCAGGGACCUGAGUGUCUCUUGCCGUCCCUCUCAGGCCUCCUCUGGGGGUUGGGGGGCCUUUCAAGGAUGGAGAGGACCGUCAGCGAGUCGUCCCGCCCCAUUUUGUUCCCAUCCUGAUGGGAAGCUCCGGUGGGGCCCCUCGCCCUCCCGGCGGGGCCGUGACUAAAGCCCGAUCCCCCUUCCGCCCCAGUCACUGGGCCUGGCUUUGUGCGCCGGGCCUUUCUUUCUCUGCCGGACCGUGGAAAAGGCGGCGUCAGCGCCGGCUUUGUCUGGCCCCGCCGCGCCGCUGUUCUCAGGGCUGGACAAAGCCGCCCGCUUCACAGCCGCCCGGGCGGAUGCAG